rnacentral:rRNA from 1 species
GACGAACGCUGGCGGCGUGCCUAAUACAUGCAAGUCGAACGAACCGCGACUAGGUGCUUGCACUUGGUCAAGGUGAGUGGCGAACGGGUGAGUAACACGUGGGUAACCUACCUCAUAGUGGGGGAUAACAGUCGGAAACGACUGCUAAUACCGCAUAGGACAUAGGAUCACAUGAUUCUGUGAGGAAAGGUGGCGCAAGCUAUCGCUAAGAGAUGGACCGGCGGUGCAUUAGCUAGUUGGUAGGGUAAAGGCCUACCAAGGCGAUGAUGCAUAGCCGACCUGAGAGGGUGAUCGGCCACAUUGGGACUGAGACACGGCCCAAACUCCUACGGGAGGCAGCAGUAGGGAAUCUUCCGCAAAGGACGCAAGUCUGACGGAGCAACGCCGCGUGAGUGAAGAAGGUCUUCGGAUCGUAAAGCUCUGUUGUUAGAGAAGAACAGCGCAUAGAGUAACUGUUAUGCGUGUGACGGUAUCUAACCAGAAAGCCACGGCUAACUACGUG